rnacentral:rRNA from 1 species
AAUAGCCUAUGGGCUGAACCAGCAACUUGGAAGAAUGUAGAACUAAAGUAUAAAAUUCUAUAUAUGGACUGAUAAUGACAAUUCAUAUAUAUUAGUAUUGACCAAAUUACGUGCCAGCAGUCGCGGUAACACGUAAAAUACAAGUGUUAUUCAUCUUUAAUAGGUUUAAAGGGUACCUAGACGGAAAAUCAAGCCUAAAUAAUAAGGGACUAGUAUUCUAGAGUUUUAUGGAUGAAUGUUGAACUAUUGGAGUAAAGUCAACAUUUGAUGAUACCAAUGAUACGGACAACUGUGAAGACGACAUUCCAUGUAAAAACUGACGUUGAGGGACGAAGCCUUGGGGAGCGAUAAGGAUUAGAUACCCUAGUAGUCCAAGGAGAAAAUUAUGAGUGUCAUAGGCUAGAAUAUUCUAGUUUAUAAAUGAAAGUGUAAGCACUCCACCUCAUGAGUAAAGCGGCAACGCCGAAAUUGAAAUCAUUAGACCGUGUCUGAAACCAGUAGUGAAGUAUGUUAUUUAAUUCGAUAACCCGCGAAUAAUCUUACCACGUUUUGAAUAUAUUAUUUAUUUAUUUACAAGCGCUGCACGGCUGUCUUCAGUUAAUGUCGUGAGAUUUUGGUUAGUUCCUUUAAUUAACGAAAGCCCUUGCAUUAUUUAAGUACAUUAAUGCAUUUCGCCGUUAUAUUGGUAUGAAUAAUAGGGAUCAAGACAAGUCAUCAUGGCCUUAAUAACG